GACGAACGCUGGCGGCGUGCUUAACACAUGCAAGUCGAACGCUUAAGCUCAGCUUUUGUUGGGUGGAUGAGUGGCGAACGGGUGAGUAACACGUGAGUAACCUGCCUCCUUCUUUGGGAUAACGCCCGGAAACGGGUGCUAAUACUGGAUAUUCACUGGUCUUCGCAUGGGGGUUGGUGGAAAGGGUUUUUCUGGUGGGGGAUGGGCUCGCGGCCUAUCAGCUUGUUGGUGGGGUGAUGGGCUACCAAGGCUUUGACGGGUAGCCGGCCUGAGAGGGUGGCGGGUCACAUUGGGACGGAGAUCCGGCCCAGACUCCUACGGGAGGCAGCAGUGGGGAAUAUUGCACAAUGGGCGCAAGCAUGAUGCAGCGACGCCGCGUGAGGGAUGGAGGCCGUCGGGUUGUGAACCUCUUUCGCUCAUGGUCAAGCCGCAACAAUGGUUGUGGUGAGGGUAGUGGGUAAAGAAGCGCCGGCUAAGUACGUG
rnacentral:rRNA from 1 species